UUGUCAAACCCAACUUCUUUCAGGUUAAAUGCUUGCUCUUUUCUGUUUACAUGAGGGAGGAAAAAAAAUAUAACUUCGAUUAGUUCUUGCUAAGUGGAAUCCUCAGGCAAGGCUUCUCUUGAUUAAGAAUGAAGUUUGACCUAAGCAGAAAACAUACGGUAGUUUCUCAGCUAUAAAAUAUCACACAUUGCUCUCAUAUACAAAGGAGUCAAAUAAGUUACUCAAGAUCACGCAGGUCACCUGUGGUUAAGCUGGCAAUAGAACUGACUGCACCAAUCCUCCACACCCACACAUAGCAGAGAUCCACUGACAGCAAGGGCCAGUAUCUCUGCUGCAGAUCUGUCCAUCAGUAGGUCACUUUCACCAUCCUGGAUUACAUGCACUCACUGUGUUAUUCUUUUUUUCCUAUUAUUCAUUUCACCUUUCAGAGAAACAACAAUAUUAAAACAGUUUAAAAUUUCCUUUAAGAUUUUCUUCGUAUCUAUUUCAGUCCCUGAUCAUAAGAAAGAAGCACAGAGGCAGAGUUUGAGGCUGGCUGAAUGGCCCCAAAUCUAGCAGACAGCUUGUUAGUCCUGACAGCCUUUGGCUGACGUUCUUUUCAAUUAGACUUUCUAUAUGUACUGUUUUACAUGUGUAUAUGAGUCCAUGCAUGCCUUUUUUUGCUCUUUAAGCAGUUACCAAAAAACCAUGCAGAUCAUCUAGUAGCACUAGACAAAUAAAGCCAUUAAAGAAAAAAAAAGAAAGAGCAAAAAAGCCAGUCAAUUUUGAGGAAAGCUAAUUAUGUAAAACAUUAGCUGAUAGAAAUCAAAGGAACAUUUUUGUCUUCGAUCCAAUAUUUCUUGCUGUUUAAAUUUUGCCAUUAAAUAUUGCUCAGUAUAAAGUUUUUGCUGACUAUGCUAAGCACAGUUAUUCAGGAACACAAAGCCAACUUCCACAGCACUGACACAGAAAUCUGGCAACAGCACUGGAGUACUGCAAGAUGAGGGGCAUCGUUUUACUUCCAACCUAAUGGGCCAAUAGGGUCUGCAAAUGCUGGAAAGGAAACAUGCUCAGAUACUGUGAGAAGGAACACUUUUCUUGUUAGGAGACCCUACCACUAUUUGUGGCAUAAAUGUUGCCUUCAAUUAGAUAAUUAAGUCAACAGACUGCUGAGCUUUUGGGAACAGCGAUAUGGUGGACUCCAGAAUAGUUGUGCCAGAGGUAAGGAAAUGCAUUCUCAGCACCUGCAUGAGCUCUAUCAGUUCUUAACAAUUACACGCUGGCCUAUAUCAAAGCCCACAGUUUGGAAGAGUAAGUAACAGAUACUUACAUUUUAGUGUGUUCUCUAAAAGAGGUAUGUAUAGGACAUGGCAUGUCUUGUGGGUGGGAAGACAACAACGCUCAUUUUAAUGAUCAGAACAUAGACUGUUUCCAGGAUAAGCCACAAGUAUUUUAAUUAAGUAUUUUAUUUAAGCUUAAUUGUCACAUUGCUUUUCUUUUGCUUUGUUUUGCAAUCACAUUAUACAGCUAUUGGAGGCAGACAGAGGUUGGUGAAGCAAAGCCAACUCCAACUUUUGCUCCAAAAGCAAUUAUCCUGGACUUUAGGGUACUCAGUUCCCCAAGGAUUAAAGCAGUGACCAAGACGCAUUCCGGGAAUAAUAUGCAUAUUAUAAUAAAAUAACUAUAUUUUACAAUGUGCUAUAUACAUGGUAGCAUGUACAUUCUUACUGAUAAGUGCCAGUUCUUACACAGCCACUAGCUGCUAAACCUAUUCUCACCAAUUUUCACCUGCAACACAGUGCUGAUUUCACUCAAUCUGAAUAUGUUUUUAAUUUUUUUUUUGCCAGUGUACAGGAACUAUCAUUUAAAUAGUACUACAUAUAACAGCUGAAAUUCAGAUACUGUGCUGUAGAUAAAUUACACAGGUUAACUUUUAGUAACUGUUGCUGUAGGUAAUUAAUGCUUAUAGCUAUCAGAAUAUUUUUUCACUUAAACUUUGCCUCGUUUAUAAAAAGCCAGCACUUCUUCUAAUUUAUCCAGGCAGGGCAGAUCUUAGCUAUUUCAGACAUCUCCUGCUUUCCUUUGAAACUAUCUUAGCAAUAUAGUCAGUAUAAAGAAUGACCGACUAACUUUGAGGCCACCAUACAUUUUUAACAUGUGGCUAACUCUAUGUGAUGAGUCGUCAGGGUUGUAAGUCCAUCUCGUGCUAUGUAAAAACAGAAGGUUUAAGCAUAAACAGCAUGAAGAAGUCUCAUGGCCUGAUUCUGGCCACAUUAUCUUAUGGCAGCCCUCACUCAGGCCCUGACAAGUAAACAGGCUACAGAUCACUGCAUAUUUUCAUAAUACUAAAUAGCCUUAAUGCGCCAUGGUUGCUAUUGCUAAAGAUAUACAGUCAGGUUUUCAUAACCACUGGGAAGUUUAUCUUCAGAUUAAUCAAAAUUAUUGUCUCACCACUAAUCUCUGAAAAUGCUUCUGUUGGGAUAAUUAUUUUCUUCCAUUACCACCAACAGAAAUAAAAGUAUGUUUCCCUUUCAUUAAUAGUGAAGUGCUAAACUGAACUCUAGGAGUUUUCAGAGCAGUAACACUCCCCCAUAUAGUCUGUUGGGUUGGUUAAGUGUUCCACUUCAUAAAAACAUUGCCAUAUACUCUAACUUUGUUUAUGGAGGUAAAAAUCUCAGUUUGUUACAUUUGUUUUUGAACUUGCUCAGGUCUCACCAGGGUCCACACAUAAGGCAGAUUCUGAUGAACGUCUUCAGACUUUGGGUUAGAAAGCUGGAAAAUCAAACCUAGAGAAACAGAAUGAGAGGUUAGAAAUAGAUGCAUAAGUAAAAACUAAUGUUAAUGUUAGCCCUGUUCCCUGUUAUCCUCCUAUGGAAAGUAAGGUUCAUUCAUAUGAAUAUAUUGUGCUGUAGCUUUGAGAAUUGCUUUCUUAAGCAGAUCCUCUACUUUGGAAAAUACAAAAGGAGAAAGAGGUAAUACGUGUUCUGGGUGUCACUGUUCAGUUGGUCUACUGCCAGACAGGUACAGGAUUGCCACUGGAAAGGAUGUAGUGUAAUGCUCCUAUAACAGUGGGAGCUGGUUAUCUCCACCCUUCAGGCAUUCAUUUGUGAUUAAGAAACCUUCAACAGCUGCCUGACUUUACAGUGCACUGGCAGAUCCUCUGGUGGAGUGCCUGGAGAGGAUAGUAUACAAUGUCAAGAUGACCAACGAUCUUGAGAUCACUGAGCAGAAUAAAGAGGCAGCCUGUGGACACAAAAGCCUACGGUGGAAUCAAUAAUCUUGCCAAUUCAGCAGCACAGUGACACCGAGGACAUGCAACACCACAGGAACACAUUUCCAGAUGGUUCGGGUGUGCUGUUCCUUUGUUAUAACCAGAGGAAAUCAGAUGCCACAUUUUUAGGAAACACCACAAGAAGUUGUAAAUCCAUUCUAUUUCAAUAUAUUGGUUUACAAAGCUAUUCUUCCAUGCUAGGAUUGUAAAUGUCUCUGCAGCACUUUCAGCAAUGCACAGACACUAUUUUUUUUUUCACAUGGCAAUGUUCUCAAAGAAAUAAUAGUAAAAAAUAAAAAUAAAAAGGUGCAGAAUAAGCAGUCCUUCCCUUUAGACCAUCAGCAUUGCCCAUACAUUUUAGGCAGAGCUUACAUAAUGCCUUGUGAUGAACGUUUCAGUGGGUGCAUUAGUACUGCCGUUCAGAGGAAGUUAUUAACUCAAACACAAGUGGUCAGACAGUUCCCAGCAGGGAAGGAUUAAAAUAAUAUCCCAAAGCAGUGGUUGGUCCUGCAUUUUGCUAGCACAGAGAAGUGGACUCAUAGUGGCUACGUACGACAGGUAUGGAGACGUUAUUGGCAGAUGACCACAGAUAAUCAGAGGACUGCGUAUUUAAAACCAGAUUGUAGUAAAAAGGCACAGUAUUAUUCCUUGAAAAUUACUCCUUUCUCAUGGUAAGCCAUUCUUUAAUUAAUUCAGGCAUCUGUAACAGUAUGUUCAGUUAGUGUAUCAUUCUAACCACCUCUGCAGAACACUAGCUUUACAGAGCAGCUGCCUGCUUCUCUUACCUUGUUCCUCACAAAUGUUGGAUGAAAGUGAGAAGCUGACUGUGAUGGGUGACUGGUCAGCAUCAUUUUGCACAGCAGGAGCUAAACACAAAGAAAGGAGAAUGCAGUGCUUAGGAACACACAUGGAAAGGUAAGUCUGCUUUUAAAAAUUAUUAUUGAUUUCUUUUUAAAGAGGUGAGAAUUACCUGGAGAACUGUAACAGGCUUCUUCCCAACACUAGGUUCAGCACUUGCAAUCACUGAUACUCGCAGAAUGAAAUGCUUUAGAUGCAAAUCUUCUCUACUGGUGCAAUGUGUUAUGACUCUAUCACUCACCUUGAAAGAGGAGACUAAAAAUGCUUUGCUAAAUGACUUGAAACAUUGCCCAGUUUCACCGGCUUUGUUCUUCUCAAGUGUUUGUACCUCUUGCUUCAGCUGCAAAGCUAUUUCAUCAUGUCCUAAACCAGUGCUUUGCAAAGAACUGCAGUAUAUCCAGUUAUAAGCUGGAGCACAUUGGCCUAUCCAGCCAAUGGUGUAUUCUUAACAGAAAGCACUUUUUUCCUUUUUUUUGGCCAAACGUUACAACACAGCACAUUUGUGCAGCACUGUAUUACCUUCACUUUCUGAAGGUGCGUUUGAUGCUGUCUCAGGAUUUAUUUCUCCCUUUGUAGUGCAGGAUGAUAGAAUAAAGCCUUUCUUGUGUUGUUCUUUUCUGAUGGCAGUGAUUUCAUGCUCCUUACAUUUGGAUGCCAGAGUACUAUUCUUAACCUCCUCUGAGGCCUGGCUUCUCCUGGAUCUCAUGCUUCUGUAUGAUAGCAACUUCUGCUGCUGUUUACAGAAAUCAGCCCUCACAGUGAGUUCCCUCCAGCUGCAGGUAAGCACAGUUACAAGUUCCAGUGGAAAACCAGUCUGAUACCUAGCCAGGAGCUGCCACUUCUCCCCAAGUUGCAGAUGCAGACUUAUUCAACAUGUUAAGUGCUUUCAUCUACAACAAAAUAAAUGUUUCCAAUUUAACACUGGAGGAUGUGUGAAGGGGAAGAGGGAAGUAGAACAACGUCCUGGAAAUGGAAGAAAUCACCUGGUCAAAGAAAUAUAUGGGUCCUGCCUCUGGCACUGCAGCUGUAAGUACUGGUUCCAUUAAUCCCAAGAUGAGCAAGGACUGAAAUACUCCAAGGGAAGACCGUUAUGUCAGCAGGCUGUGAGAAAGAAACUGUUCGUUCUUUUCACACUAACAGUGAAGCUGAGUCGGUAUUUUCUGUGUGAGGUAUUGAAAAUCUGCUUCAAAUAUUACACGAAACACUACUGUACAGAUAGGGAUGCAUUCACAUAUCAGAGGACUAAACUAUAGGAAAUCAAUUACAAAACUGAAAACCCGAGUAUCAGUUUUUGUUCAUUUAGAUUCAUAUCAAUCCAAAACAGUGUCUUCAUGAGACACAGCCUACUGUUAUUUUAUAGGACAGAUGUCUCAGUUUGUUUGUUAUAUGAAAAAGAAGAUUGGUUUCAUAUGACUCAGUGACUGUCAUUAAAUAUGCUAUCAUUCAAAAAA